rnacentral:rRNA from 1 species
GACGAACGCUGGCGGCGUGCUUAACACAUGCAAGUCGAACGAAGAGCGAUGGACUCUUGCUUCUAUCAAUCUUAGUGGCGAACGGGUGAGUAACGCGUAAUCAACCUGCCCUUCAGAGGGGGACAACAGUUGGAAACGACUGCUAAUACCGCAUACGAUCUAAUCUCGGCAUCGAGGAUAGAUGAAAGGUGGCCUCUACAUGUAAGCUAUCACUGAAGGAGGGGAUUGCGUCUGCUUAGCUAGCUGGAGGGGUAACGGCCCACCAAGGCGAUGAUCAGUAGCCGGUCUGAGAGGAUGAACGGCCACAUUGGGACUGAGACACGGCCCAGACUACUACGGGAGGCAGCAGUGGGGAAUCUUCCGCAAUGGACGAAAGUCUGACGGAGCAACGACGCGUGAGUGAUGACGGCAGUCGGGUUGUAAAGCUCUGUUAAUCGGGACGAAAGGCCUUCUUGCGAAUAGUGAGAAGGAUUGACGGUACCGGAAUAGAAAGCCACGGCUAACUACGUG